rnacentral:rRNA from 1 species
UACGUAGGUGGCAAGCGUUGUCCGGAAUUACUGGGUGUAAAGCGCGUGUAGGCGGCAGGCCAAGUCUGCGGUGAAAGCGCCCGGCUCAACUGGGCGAGGUCCGUGGAAACUGGUCAGCUGGAGGACGGUAGAGGCGAGUGGAAUUCCCGGUGUAGUGGUGAAAUGCGUAGAGAUCGGGAGGAACACCUGUGGCGAAGGCGGCUCGCUGGGCCGGUCCUGACGCUGAGACGCGAAGGCGUGGGAGCGAACGGG